GCGCUGGUGGCAUAAAUGGUUAUGCAUUUGGCUGCUAACUGAAAGGUUGGUGGUUCGAACCCAUUCAGUGGCU
rnacentral:tRNA from 1 species